GACAGAGAGACGGACAGACAGAGAGACGGACAGACAGAGAGACGGACAGACAGUCGGAGAGACGGAGAGAGACAGAGAGACAGAGAGACGGAGAGAAGGAGAGACGGACAGACAGAGAGACGGACAGACAGAGAGACGGACAGAGAGACGGAGAGACGGACAGAGAGACUGAGAGACGGACAGAGAGACUGAGAGACGGACAGAGAGACUGAGAGACGGACAGACAGACAGACAGACAGAGAGACGGACAGAGAGACAGAGAGACGGACAGACAGACAGAGAGACGGACAGACAGAGAGACGGACAGACAGAGAGACGGACAGACAGACAGAGAGACAGACAGACGGACAGAGAGACAGACAGAGAGACGGACAGACGGACAGAGAGACGGACAGACAGACAGAGACAGACAGACAGACAGACGGACAGACAGAGAGACGGACAGACAGACAGACAGAAAGACGGACAGACAGUGAGACGGACAGACAGAGACGGACGGACAGACACAGACAGUGAGACGGACAGACAGACAGACUAAAAGACGGACAGACAGUGAGACGGACAGACAGACACAGACAGUGAGACGG
ensembl:lncRNA